GAUGAACGCUGGCGGCGUGCCUAAUACAUGCGAGUCGAGCGAACGGACGAGAAGCUUGCUUUUCUGAUGUUAGCGGCGGACGGGUGAGUAACACGUGGAUAACCUACCUAUAAGACUGGGAUAACUUCGGGAAACCGGAGCUAAUACCGGAUAAUAUUUUGAACCGCAUGGUUCAAAAGUGAAAGACGGUCUUGCUGUCACUUAUAGAUGGAUCCGCGCUGCAUUAGCUAGUUGGUAAGGUAACGGCUUACCGAGGCAACGAUGCAUAGCCGACCUGAGAGGGUGAUCGGCCACACUGGAACUGAGACACGGUCCAGACUCCUACGGGAGGCAGCAGUAGGGAAUCUUCCGCAAUGGGCGAAAGCCUGACGGAGCAACGCCGCGUGAGUGAUGAAGGUCUUCGGAUCGUAAAACUCUGUUAUUAGGGAAGAACAUAUGUGUAAGUAACUGUGCACAUCUUGACGGUACCUAAUCAGAAAGCCACGGCUAACUACGUG
rnacentral:rRNA from 1 species